AUGGACGCGCACACCGGCGCCUCGCUCACCCCGCUGUACAGCCGCGACCCCCCCGUUGUCGCCGUCGCCGCCGCCGGCGGAAACCCUAGCGCGGGAAGCGCUGGCGUCGCCGCCGCCGAAGCUCCGCUGAGCGUCGGCCUCGCGCGCAGCCUCUUCUUGCCGCCGCGGAUGACCACGGCGCCGGGUGGCGUCGCGCCGGCGCCGUCCCGUGCCGCCGCCGCACCGUCGAAGAAAGUCCCCAAUGCGGCACGGACGAAGAAGGGCAAAACAUCCGCGAAGAAAAACAAGGCGGCGGACGGCUCCGGCACCACGAAGGCGAGGGGAAAGAAGCUUGCAGGGCGUUCGACGGCGGCGGCUUCCGAAGCGCCGGCGAGCUUACUCGUUGAGCCGGCCGCCGACGCGCACCACGUGUUCGACGAAAUGCCUCCAAGAUGA
rnacentral:rRNA from 1 species